ACUCGUAAAUAUGCACCACAUACUUCCAUAAUGUCUACUGUCGUGUAGUAGCACUCCCAGCACUAUAAAUUAACAAUGGUGAUCGUCCAAGGCUUAACAUUCACAUCCCUCUUGUCUUUCUUGUGGGAUUUUUGAGUAGUGUACGAGUUAGAGAAUGAUGAAAUAUUUCAAGUCUCUUAUUUUGCUAGGCCUUCUGCUUGGCUCCGUUGUUCUUGUAUCCUCUGCUGCUGAAGCUGAGACAUCCAAAGAUGAGAAAAAAGGUUAAUUAUUAUGAACUUAUGUAUGAUAGUUAAUAUUCGUUUAUAUUUUAAAUGGUUAAUCGCUCUGAUAAAUAUAUUUUUUUCAAUUCACUGUCUCCAUUUUAAACAAUUACACAUUUAUAUCAAUAUUGUUUACACGUUUACACAACGUACCUGUGCACCCCUUACAUUUGCACGACUGACUAAAACCACAUGUAUGCACCCAAUUAUUAGACUAUGUCCAAUCCUGACCUAAAACCUAAAAAUAUUUAGCCCAGAAAAUUUAGGUUUUAGCCCAGAAACAGCUUUUCUACUCCAACCCUUUUGGCCUAAAAUUUUAGCCCCAGAUUAUCAAAAAAUGAAUUAAGGUUAUUUUUUUAAAUUAACUUUUUAAAAAAAAAAAUUGUGUAGACUAUCCUAAAUUAAUUUUAUAAACAUUUUAACCUAAAAAUAUUUAAAUUCCGAUAAAUUUUGAAAAAUCACUAAAUCAAUACAUGAAAAUCAUGAUAAACCACAUAAACUUAAAAAAAAAAUUAUUCUAGCCGUUGGAAAAAAAUAUUUAAAUUCCGAUAAAUUUUAAGAUUAUUCUAGCCAUUGGAUUUAAACUUUGACCUUUAUAUCUUUUUUUUUACCGUUAGAUUUGAUUAUAUUCGAUUUAAGCCGUUGGAUUCAAUAAAUAUAUAAAUAUAAAAAAAAAUUGAAUGUGGACCGUUGGAUUAACCAACGGUCCAAUUACCACCACCACCCGAUGAAGAAAAGUAGCCAUUGGCUACAGGACAAGGUCCACUUUUCACUCUCAUUUGUGGGUCUCAACAGCUUUUGUGGGCUAAAUUUGUAACCUAUAUUUACCUUCAUUUUAAGUUUUAGGUUUUAGGUUUGGUUUAGGUUUUGGGUUGGAGUGGAUUUGGGGGGGAAGGGGAAAAUUUAGGUUAUAAGCCACCAUUGGAGAUGGUCUAAGGGCGAAAAAAGAAAAGGAAAUGUACACAAGAAUUUGAUUCUGUUUCUACUAUAAGUUCAUAACAGUGUCGUACAGUUCGUAAAUUACAUAUAUAGCUAGGGUUUUUUGUAUUCAUACUGCUCCAAUAUACUCGACAUAUACUUGCUAAGUCGACUAAGGCUAAGAGAUAUAUGUGUUUGUAUAUGGUGCAGUGGAUGAGCCAAAGGAAGUUAACCAAGGUGGCGGGGGAUACUGUGGCCGGUGUUGCUAUCGCUAUGGCCGCUACACUUGCGGCGGACAUUGUUGUUGGCCUGAAGUUGCUGAUCAGUCCGAAGUAUAGUAGUUACCGAUGACGCGGUAGAGGACAAUUUUGAAACAAAGCAGCCUGAUGGAUAUGGAGGCUGGGGAGGAGGCGGACGUGGUGGCGGAGGUUGGGGAGGAGGCGGACGUGGUGGCGGAGGCUGGGGAGGAGGCGGACGUGGCGGAGGUGGCAGCGGGGGAGGAGGUGGACGUGGUGGAGGUGGCAGUGGGGGAGGAGGUGGACGUGGCGGCGGUGGUGGCUGGGGAGGAGGAGGACGUGGCGGAGGUGGCGGCUGG
rnacentral:lncRNA from 1 species